UACAGAGGGGGCAAGCGUUGUUCGGAAUUACUGGGCGUAAAGGGCGCGUAGGCCGCCUUCUAAGUCGAACGUGAAAUCCCCGGGCUCAACCCGGGAACUGCGUCCGAGACUGGAAGGCUCGAAUCCGGGAGAGGGAUGUGGAAUUCCAGGUGUAGCGGUGAAAUGCGUAGAUAUCUGGAGGAGCAUCGGUGGCGAAGGCGGCAUCCUGGACCGGUAUUGACGCUGAGGCGCGAAAGCCAGGGGAGCAAACGGC
rnacentral:rRNA from 1 species